CCUACGGGAGGCAGCAGUGGGGAAUAUUGCACAAUGGGGGAAACCCUGAUGCAGCGACGCCGCGUGAGUGAAGAAGGAUCUCGGUACGUAAAGCUCUAUCAGCAGGGAAGAAAAUGACGGUACCUGACUAAGAAGCACCGGCUAACUACGUGCCAGCAGCCGCGGUAAUACGUAGGGGGCAAGCGUUAUCCGGAUUUACUGGGGGUAAAGGGAGCGUAGACGGCAGGACAAGUCUGGAGUGAAAUCCCGGGGCUUAACCCCGGAACUGCCUUGGAAACUGUGCGGCUGGAGUGCAUGAGGGGUAAGCGGAAUUCCUAGUGUAGGGGUGAAAUGCGUAGAUAUUAGGAGGAACACCGGUGGCGAAGGCGGCUUACUGGACUGUAACUGACGCUGAGGCUCGAAAGCGUGGGGAGCAAACAGGAUUAGAUACCCUAGUAGUC
rnacentral:rRNA from 1 species